AACGAACGCUGGCGGCGUAGCUUAACACAUGCAAGUCGAACGCGAAAGGGACUUCGGUCCUGAGUAAAGUGGCGCACGGGUGAGUAACGCGUAGAUAACCUGUCUUCAUGUCUGGAAUAAUACGCCAAAGGGGUACUAAUACCGGAUAUUCUUGCUUUUCAUAAGUUAUGCAAGCAAAGGUGGCCUCUGCAUAUGCUACUGCAUGAAGAGGGGUCUGCGUACCAUUAGCUAGUAGGUGGGGUAACGGCCUACCUAGGCGACGAUGGUUAGCGGGUCUGAGAGGAUGAUCCGCCACACUGGCACUGGAACACGGGCCAGACUCCUACGGGAGGCAGCAGUGAGGAAUAUUGCGCAAUGGGGGAAACCCUGACGCAGCGACGCCGCGUGAGUGAAGGAAGGCCUUCGGGUCGUAAAGCUCUGUCAAGAGGAAAGAAGUGUACAAUGGCUAAUACCUGUUGUAUUUGACGGUACCUCUAAAGGAAGCACCGGCUAACUCCGUGCCAGCCGCUGC
rnacentral:rRNA from 1 species